UACGUAGGGUGCAAGCGUUGUCCGGAAUUAUUGGGCGUAAAGAGCUCGUAGGCGGCUUGUCGCGUCGGAUGUGAAAACCCAGGGCUCAACCCUGGGCCUGCAUUCGAUACGGGCAGACUAGAGUGUGGCAGGGGAGACUGGAAUUCCAGGUGUAGCGGUGAAAUGCGUAGAUAUCUGGAGGAACACCGGUGGCGAAGGCGGCAUCCUGGACCAAUUCUGACGCUGAGGAGCGAAAGCCAGGGGAGCAAACGGG
rnacentral:rRNA from 1 species